GACGAACGCUGGCGGCGUGCCUAAUACAUGCAAGUCGAACGCACAGUCUAUACCGUAGCUUGCUACACCAUAGACUGUGAGUUGCGAACGGGUGAGUAACGCGUAGGUAACCUGUCUGGUAGCGGGGGGUAACUAUUGGUAACGAUAGAUAAUACCGCAUAAUAUUAAUUAUUGAAUGAUAAUUAAUUGAAAGGUGCAAUUGAACCACUACCAGAUGGACCUGCGUUGUAUUAGCUAGUAGGUGAGGUAACGGCUCACCUAGGCGACGAUACAUAGCCGGCCUGAGAGGGUGGUUGGCCACCCUGGGACGGAGACACGGCCCAGACUCCCUCGGGAAGGAGCAGUAGGGAAACUUCGGCAAUGGGCGAAAGUCUGACCGCGAAACGCCGCGGGAGGGAAGAAGGUUGUCGGGUCGUAAAGGUCGGUUUUAAGGGAAGAACGGGUGUGAGAGUGGAAAGUUCACACUGUGACGGUAACUUACCAGAAAGCAACGGCUAACUACGUG
rnacentral:rRNA from 1 species